UACGGAGGGUGCAAGCGUUGUCCGGAAUUAUUGGGCGUAAAGAGCGCGUAGGCGGUUCGUCGCGUCGGCUGUGAAAUCCCGAGGCUCAACCUCGGGUCUGCAGUCGAUACGGGCGGACUGGAGUUCGGCAGGGGAGACUGGAAUUCCUGGUGUAGCGGUGAAAUGCGCAGAUAUCAGGAGGAACACCGGUGGCGAAGGCGG
rnacentral:rRNA from 1 species